GCAGCUUCUGUGGACAGGGCAGGAGGUGUGCUAGGUGACAAUCUGGGCGGAUGCUCCCUCUGAGACAGGAAAACUGGAGCAGAGAGGACCAAGGCAGCCUGAGCCAGAGGCGCCUCUCCAUCACUGGCCAGGAGGGAGCAACUGCUCCAUUUCUUUGGCCCUCAGACCGCGGAGCCCCGGGUCACCAGCCUAAACCGCUUAAUGCGCAUCACGCCUGGGUCUCCUUGGAAAUGGCUGAAGCACUUAAAUGGGACGCCCAACCUUUGUCCUCCGCUCCAAAACCACAGAAACCCCCCAGUUCCUGUCCUCACAGCUGGAACUUCCUCUUCGCACUAAUUGGAAAAACAUCCUCUGGGGAAGGGGGCAUCUUCAUUGAGUGAAUCUUUGGUGAUGGCUAUAUCAACUGGAUCCUGGCUGGAGCAUUAGCAGCCCUUUUGCACAAUGAGGUGACUUUGGAAAUGAAGUCCAUGUUGCUGGAGACCGAAAUGCCAUACCAGCCCUGGAGUAACGUCAAAAGAGACAUAAGCCCUGACCGGUUUGGUUCAGUGGAUAGAGCACA